rnacentral:sRNA from 1 species
UUCCCCGUUCGAUGUUCUAUUUGAUGUUGUUGUGUGUUACGGCUCGGCAAAGCCGUUGAAUUGGAUAGUUCUCCAUCAAUCUAACACACAACUUUUGAAUUGAACCUAGAACGGGUUUUUUG